rnacentral:rRNA from 1 species
AGUAACACGUAGGUAACCUGCCCAUGUGUCCGGGAUAACUGCUGGAAACGGUAGCUAAAACCGGAUAGGUAUACAGAGCGCAUGCUCAGUAUAUUAAAGCGCCCUUCAAGGCGUGAACAUGGAUGGACCUGCGGCGCAUUAGCUAGUUGGUGAGGUAACGGCCCACCAAGGCGAUGAUGCGUAGCCGGCCUGGGAGGGUAAACGGCCACAUUGGGACUGAGACACGGCCCAA